UACGGAGGGUGCAAGCGUUGUUCGGAAUUAUUGGGCGUAAAGGGCGUGUAGGCGGUUCGUUAAGUCUGAUGUGAAAGCCCACGGCUCAACCGUGGAGGGUCAUUGGAAACUGGGGGACUUGAGUACAGAAGAGAAGAGUGGAAUUCCACGUGUAGCGGUGAAAUGCGUAGAGAUGUGGAGGAACACCAGUGGCGAAGGCGACUCUUUGGUCUGUAACUGACGCUGAGGCGCGAAAGCGUGGGGAGCAAACAGG
rnacentral:rRNA from 1 species